rnacentral:rRNA from 1 species
CAAUAGCGUAUAUUAAUGUUGUUGCAGUUAAAGAGCUCGUAGUUGGAUUUCUGGUGGAAGCGACCGGUCCGCCCCUCACGGGGUGUGCACUAGCGUCUGUCUUUUGCCAUCCUUGCGAAGAAGCGGUGUGGCAUUAAGUUGUCGCGCCGUCUGACUCGCAUCGUUUACUGUGAAAAAAUUAGAGUGUUUAAAGCAGGCAAUUGCUGUGAAUACAUUAGCAUGGAAUAAUAAGAUAGGACUUUGGUACUAUUUUGUUGGUUUGCAUAUCAAAGUAAUGAUUAACAGGGACAGUUGGGGGUAUUCGUAUUUCGUUGUCAGAGGUGAAAUUCUUGGAUUUAUGAAAGACGAACUACUGCGAAAGCAUUUACCAAGGAUGUUUUCAUUAA